rnacentral:tRNA from 1 species
AUAAAAGUAAGCUAAAUAUAAGCUACUGGGUUCAUACCCCAUUUAUGAGAGUUACACCCUCUUCUUUUUUA